rnacentral:lncRNA from 1 species
AAGGAUUUGUAUGAGUCAAUUGUGGAAGACAAGAUACCCACCGGUGACACGGAAGAAGAAUCGAGAGUACUGCACAAAUCCUUGACAUCCUUGACAUCCUCUUCGUUGGCACCAGAGCCGCCGCAUACGAGUCACCCUAACCAUCGCUUUGACAUCCGACCUAUCCCGAAGCCAUCGAAAACAACAUAUUUCUUUAUUUGCAAUAAGAUUUGGAGAAAUCCAAAAAAAACUGUGCAUGACAAAAAAACAUAUCAAGUGAAAAAGAAGUAUAAAUAAAUAAGUACAAAUACAAGAGCAAAUCCCCCACACGGGGACCUUUACCUGAACCCUCGCUUUCCUCAUCUUUUUCGCAAAAAGAACCCACCUCGUCUCCCCCUGCACGAACGAUGCCUUUACUGCAUGUGCUGCAUCGCUGUGCUU